ACCUCCAUUUUCAUAGUAUCUUGACCACAGUCACCACCUUCUUUUGAUAACUACGCCAGUGUGCCGAGCUUCCGGUGGUCUGAUGGCGUAGCCUAAUAUUAAAGGUCUCAGCUGUCACCAGUAUUAUUGAAAUAAAAAAAUUAAUGAACAGUCUGUCUGUAUAAUGACAACUCGUCACUGGAAAAUGAGAGAAGAGCCAACUCUCAAAAUGUCAUGUGUACCAAAUACAGGAUGCCCCAAAUAGAUGUGUACAUACAUUCAGACAUUUUAUAUCACCAAUGGCAUUUGGUGAAUUAGCGAAUGUAGUAUAUAUAGGUGUUCAAAAAUGACCACAGUUAACUACGUGGCACAAUUAACAGCGGUGAGACUGACUGACGAGCAGCCUCCAAACUUGCUGUUGUGUAUACGUAUUUUUGGGGCAUUCUUUGUGUCUCAAACAAUGCACGAUGUAGAACGGAUUAUUCAUGUACGUGGUUUUGAUUGUGCUGUUUCUAGUGUCCAGGUGUAUCGUGUUCUUGUUCUGAAUAUCUUUCUCAGUUUUGAUGGAUCCUUGCAGAAUACUGUAAGCUGGUUCUUGUGCUGUGAUCUUGAAUGUUACAUUAUUUGUGAACUUCUACCAGACUACACUGCUCAACAACCCAGAAGACGGCCGUCUACGUUAUUGAAAUUAACUGCAUACCCUCGGGUUUUGUUAGAACCAUUUGGCAAACAAAACACUCUGUACUAAAGAAUUUUUGUGUGAAACACAGGAUUUUUUUUUGAAAUUACUAAGACUUGAAGAAGGCCGUGUCCCCCUGAAGUUGAUUCCUUUGUUGUAAUGUACAGUGUGAUUAUGAAAUAUACUGCAUUUUCACAAACUUUGAAGCAUUUUAUAUACAUUUAUCUGUAUUUUGUACAAUUAAAAAUAAAAUCUGAAUAUGUAACUUCCAAAAUAAAUGUUUAUGUAUGUUAUAAUUAUUUUGUGUUGUAUAUACAUUAAUUUUUAAAAUGUAAGCUGUUCGUAAUAUGAAUAGUGUUUCAACUCAUCUUUUUUGGGGGGAAUUGUCUUUUAAUUUGUUGAGUAAGUGAAGAACUGUAUUUAUUCAGUUUAAAAUGUUUCUGAAUUUAUGUGCAUGAGAAAAUUGCUGUCAGUGUCUGGACAGGAAUCUGUUACAAGUUGAAUUCAUUGCAUUAUCUGCAUGAUGUUGCAGUGAGCUGUCUGUCGAGAACGUCGCACCCAUCUUGAUGCCGUUUCUUGGGAUCAUUUUGGAGGCUGUCGGGGGCAUGAAGUGUCCUGUGUCCUGUAUGAAAAAUUAAAAGUUGAUUUGCAGACGGGGGAAUGAGCAAUUCAGCGAUCUCUUCCUGACUUUGAUGUUCUGUUAAGAAGCUGCUUGGUGCACCAAAUAUCAGCUGUCGUCUUGAAGUGACGGAUGAUGAUUUUUGUUGGGAUGUUUUAAAACAACUGUACAAGAUGUUAGUUUGCAACAUAAGACACAGAUGAGCUCUGCAAUCCGAUGGGUUGAACGUUGGUGCCGAGGCUGAAGGCGCUGCUGACCUGGAAUAUGAAGAAGUGAAAAGUCUUAUUACCAUGUUCACAAGAGCACACCAUUGGUCUCUGCCCCCAGUCACCUGAAUUCACUCCAAUGUCUACUGGGAUAAACUGACCGACGUUUCAGAGGUGCUUACUCCGGCGAUGCUGAUGAAACGUCUGUAAAUAUCUAACAGACUACACAGCGCAACAUUCCUUAAGAUGACAGCUGCCUUUAAACUAAACUUUAUCGACGAAGGUCAAAUUUAUUCAUUGCAUUUCGUAUUAAAGGCACAGACCUUGAGAAGUGCGAUGUCGUAAUCGAUAGUGUCUUCGUUGUACGAUGCGUGUCUGAUGACCUGGGACACCUGAUGAACCGUUCCACCAGAGUUGGAAUAAGUGGAGCCUGCUCGUAGUGACAGCCGACUGGCGGCCCUGCAAGUACAAUCUGAGUUAUGCACCGUGUUAAUGAAACGUAAUGUUACAAAGUCUACCCUCUCCCACCAGAAGAAAUCCAGUAAUUAACGUGCUCCUUGACACUCAAUCUGAAUUAAGCUCUGGUGGCAACUGUUUCAGCAAAAAGUGUGAACGAAGUUGAGGUUAUGUGCGUCUGGAGUCUGGCGACCUCUUUUGUGUUUGAUAGAAAUCAGGUUUCAUUUGCCGUGAAAAUGUUUUCACAUCGAAUUUACUUCAUAAAGAAAUUUUGUACUUUUUAGAUAAUGCUGUGAUAACUUGUUUCAUUGCUCAACACACAAGAAGUAUUAAAUCCCGCCAACUUAGACGGGUUAUACUACGCCACUGUUUGAAGUAAACAUCUGAUUACUUUCGAAGGCCUUCGACAUUUGCUGACAGCGCAGUUUGCUAGAGUUAAUUUCUUUUCUGACCCAAACCUACCCGACGAUGCAGUGACCUGCAGUGACGGCCCAGGUCGUGCUGAUUACCGACGCACCGCAGAUGUGAGAUGAGUCAUACCUCAGCGACAGCUGAAAAUUAAAUGCGUAUUGUAGGAAUGUAAUCGUGUUCAGACACUUCGUACCAGUCGGCAAAAGUUAGGUUAGGUUAUUGGUCGUACCUGAUGGGGGAAACUGUCGAUUGUUGUUGUCGAACCGCCGACAAUGCGUCCGUCGAGUCUAGGCCGGGGGGAGGUGAGAGGAACACCUGAAAUAAUUAUCACAACAAUUUCCUUUAAAGAGUUCAAAGAUCGACAUAACAGGCUAAAAAUAUAUCGAUACUGUAAUCUAUUGUUUCUGUACAGUUUCAAUUAGAAAAUUUCUUCCUUGAAGCUGAGUAAAAUACAACUUUGCGGGUUUCUUCUGAUUUGGGAUUGGAUGACAUCAUUAGUAAGUACUCUCAUCGUUGUAAGUGAAGGAUAAUAUUAAAGUGGACGUUGAAAAAUGUUA